UGCUCACCAAACCCCCGGUGAACCCGGGGGCUGAUGGCGUUUUUAGAUGCGCUUCAGCCCCUGGCUCUGCCGGGGGUCAGGUGAGCAGUUCCCUAGAGCGGCGAAAGGGAGAGUAAUACGUAGUUACGUACCCUGAGGACCGGAAUAGCCACGGGAAACUGUGGGUAAUGCCGGAUAAUAUCUUCGGAUCAAAGGUGUGAUUCCGCCUUGGGAGCGGACUGCGUUGUACUAGCUAGUUGGUAGGGUAAUGGCCUACCAAGGCGAUGAUGCAUAGUGGGCGUGAGAGCGUGGCCCACCUCACUGGGACUGAGACACUGCCCAGACACCUACGGGUGGCUGCAGUCGAGAAUCUUCGGCAAUGCGCGAAAGCGUGACCGAGCGACGCCGCGUGCGGGAUGAAGGCCUUCGGGUUGUAAACCGCUGUCGUAGGGGAGGAAGUUGAUUGGGGUUCUCCCCAGUCAUUGACCUAUCCUAGGAGGAAGGACGGGCUAAGUUCGUGCCAGCAGCCGCGGUAAUACGAACCGUCCAAACGUUAUUCGGAAUCAUUGGGCUUAAAGGGUACGUAGGCGGCGCUGUUAGUCGGGUGUGAAAUCCCUCGGCUCAACCGAGGAAUUGCGUCCGAUACUGCAGUGCUUGAGGGAGACAGAGGUAAGCGGAACUGAUGGUGGAGCGGUGAAAUGCGUUGAUAUCAUCAGGAACACCGGUGGCGAAAGCGGCUUACUGGGUCUCUUCUGACGCUGAGGUACGAAAGCUAGGGGAGCGAAGGGGAUUAGAUACCCCCGUAGUCCUAGCUGUAAACGUUGGGCACUUGAUCGUGGGCCCCCCCAUAGGCUCUCGGUCGUAGCGAAAGUGUUAAGUGCUCCGCCUGGGGAGUAUGGUCGCAAGGCUGAAACUCAAAUGAAUUGACGGGG
rnacentral:rRNA from 1 species